rnacentral:misc_RNA from 1 species
GACGCGAUUCCUCAUUCGGAAUAGCAUCCAAAAUAGAGCAGAGUGUUGAAGGGUGGAAAAAUUCAAACUACUAGCGUUUCGACCAACCAGCCAAUGACCCAGCAUCAAUGCGUCGUUCUAGUUCAUUUUGUAUGAUUUAGUCGAGAUAGAAGAGUGGGGGCGUUGUCCCAAUUCAAUCAUUCAAGUGAUAAAAGCACCAAAAUUAUCACACCU